CCUAGUUACACCUUGAAGCAUGCACAGAUUGAAAUCACAUCCUUCAACUGACCCCACCCCCAAAUAUAGGCAUGGGAGGGCUAAAGGCAGAAAAUUCCGGGUACCAAACCCAACCCCCUGAGGCCAUUGGAAACAAAGCUCCCCAGCCCCCAUAGUCAGCGAGCAGCUGGCCUUAAGGUCACUAGAUCCCACGCGCUCCUUGUAUGCGCAGAUAAUAAACUUGCCACUUUCUGUUUCCAUUGCAAUCAGUGUCCCUCUUAUUUCAAUCAGCUAAUAAGACAAGAACCGAGUGGCAUUAGGUUACAAGUUCUGACGACUUCCGCCUGGACGGCUGACUGUGAAACCUGGGCGUUGGGUAUCGGGACCCCUGAUACCCUUUAAGGCGCGCCCCGAUCUCAUUUGAUCAGUAAGGAGUCUUGGGCGGUUACCGUGAUUCCCGCUCGGGACAAGGAAGGCUGCAUCCCCACCUCAGCUCGGGAACAGAAACUGGACGGGAGAGGCCUCUAACUUCAGAUAAAUUUCUACUUUGCCGAUUUUCUGAAAACAUUUGGCCAGAAUAUCUCAACAAAAAAUAUGGACUGUAUUGAACCUGCAAAAAAGACUGACUAGACUCAAUCAAGAUUUCCAGAACUCUAUACAGAAGCUGAUCCAGAAUCACCCGCAACAGAAGUUAAACUACGUAAGACUGAGAAAACGGAACAAUACUAUGGGUUUUAUGUAAAAAUAUUUCUGAUAUGUUAAAGUCUGUCUUUAUGGAAAUAAUGCUUUAAAGUCCUACAUUCUAGAUAUAAGAAAUCAUUUUCCUCUUUUCUCCUAAAUUAUCUACUUAAUGGGUUGAAUUAUUUUAACUCUUGAAUUACAAGUUCCUUUUGGUGAACUUAGCAAAGUUAUAAAUAUCAUAACUAGAAAAGUGUCUAAAAUUUGAGCUAUGAUUUUACAAAUUAGAAUAACAUCAGAUUUUCUAUUAGUUCUCUCAAAGAAUAGUUUGUUCCUUAAUAGAUAAAUGUUGCUGUGUUUAUAUUAAUACACAAUCUUAGGUUUGAGAGAAUGUAGUUGUUACUGAGACACAUGAAAAACAGCUACUGAUGCUACUUACGUGUAAACAAACACCUUAUGAGAUUUGUUUCCCUGGUUCAAAGACCUUAGAGUCAUGGUUUCAUUGAUUAUUUCAGACAAUUGGCCUAGUGUUAGUGUUUCUAUUCUACCUCCUGAUUUACUGUAUGGUGCCUGAGAUCUUAAAAACCAGAUUAUGCCCAAUUACCAUUUAUUAAACAUUUUUAAUAAAAGAUUCUACUACAAGAUCCUGAUCCAAAGAGGGAACUAUUAAAGACUGUAUAUAAUUUUCCUAAAAUCCAGAUUUCUGACUUUCAUAGAGGUUGGGACAACCUCCAUAGGCCAUCACCUUUGGGUGUCUUUUUAAACCUUGAGCUUUGAGAAAAAAACUGAUUCCUAAAGCCACUAGUAGUCAAACAAUGGUCCAUAUAAGCUAACAAGACCAUUUUGCUCUGGGCAUUGUGCUUUUUUUUUUGAAAAAUUGUCUGUUUUGAGAAACUGACUCCAAAGAGCAGUAAAUAGAGUUAUAUUUAAGGCAAAUCAGUAAUUGGUUUAAUCAGUUUUCAAGACAGUGUUGUGUGAAACACCUGUCUAAUGCUUGUAAUCAAACUCUUACCCUCUUGCUGUAUAGAAAAUUAUGUAACUUAAAGAAAUCAGGAUCUCAGAGGUCAACCUCAUGACUCGGACCCCAUUUUGUCUUAAAUUCCACUUCUCUUUUGAGAAAGUGACCCAUGACUUAAGUAAACCAAUGAGACACAGCUUGCCCUCAGGGAAAACACUUAAUAUGUUUUAGACAGAUUAACUAGAGAGCUCCAGCAGAAGUCCAUCCCUGUAUUAUCUUGCUAAUCAUGUAUUCUUUAAUAGAAACUUGUUUGUCAUAUAUAAAUUUUUCUAUGCCUUCUGUUUUCUCUAGACAAACUUUGUGUUCUUUAUAAAUGAUAUGUUUUUGUGUGGUAGAUCCAACUAAACAAAUUUAGAUGAUCCCUUUCCAACUAAUAGUGAAUUUACAUAGACAAUCUCUUGUUUAGAUUCCUAGCUAAUCUGGGCAAUGAAUACACUUUGAGAACUUUAAAAUUAUCUUCAGAUAUUUGUAGUAAAUACUAGAAAGGUAAUGUUAAUUUGUUAUCCUUUGUAAAACGAGAGUCAGAAGAAAGCCCACUGGUCGAACACUCAAGGUAUGGUUGGUAAAUUUAAUUCCUUUUUUUUUUUUUAAUGGUAUAUUUGAAUUGGAGGAAUCUUUUUAAGAAAUUUAUCAAUCACUAUGUGAUAAAUAACAGACAUAGUGAUGUUGUUAGUGACAUAAAAACACAACAGUGAUCUCUACCUCAUUAAGCCAAGUUGACAUGAGAUAACAAAAUAGCCUUAAAUUUUUAUUUAUUGAUCCAAGAAAGUAUAAUAUGUGCUGUAGCAACUACCUCUUGUUACUUUUAAAUAAAUAACACAGGAGAAAUAGAACAGGAUAUACAUAACACUGGAUAGCAAGCUACUUGGUCACACAUUAUAACACCCUUACAAACACCAGAUUUAUCUGUACUACUACAAGUAAUAUUCUUAAUCUACAUCCUGAUAAUAUUAGGCAUAAUAAAAAUUUAUCCUAUGGUCUUACACACCUUAAAGACAAAAGGCGGCCUCGGGCUAAAAUGUUGAUGUACAUUGAGUCUGCUCACUUCAACAAUACAAUUAAUGAGAACUUCGCUCUUAAGAUCCUGGUGGAAAACCAGCACCCUGACUUUAAAGAACCUGCCAAGGUCACCAUCUAGGAGCUUGACUAAGUCCAGGUAUUACUCAUCGAUGUGGUAUCUCCAGUCUCUGACCAAAAAGAAGAAAUGAUUUAAGUAAUAAUAUUAGAGUCAUUAUUUCCUGUCCUUGAGCAUAGAGAAUGUGACCCAGCUAGAGCUGGCCUCACAAGGACACAUCAACUGGGCCCUGAGGUAUAAAGACAAUAGAUAGAAUCAUCUUAGAAAAAGUCUUGUAGGGAAACUUUCACAUAAGCCAGAACACAAAAGACCUUCCACUCUUAUCCUUUUCUGUUAACACCUAGUAAAUAGAAAUUUGUUGGACCAAUGAAGACCCUCCUGACUGUCGUUACUGAAACCUGUACCAAUGAUCAUUAAAAAAAAGAUAAUUCAGAACAUAAGAUCACAGGUUCUAGCCAAUUUGUGAAAGGGUGACACUUUCAAUGGCUUUGCUCAUUUUAUACCUUGUAAUAAUAUUCGUAAGACUUGAAAAGACAUGACUCUAACAACUUGCUUGUCUACUUCCCACUUUUGCCUUUUUUUAAAAAAAGUAUGAACCAGUGAAAAGACUUAAGUGGCUAUUCAAUAGAUGAAACAAAGACCGGUAAAUAAGUAUCAUAAAAAUAAGUACCAUAAAAGUAUUAAGAAUUGUUUUUGCUCUAGCCAUUUUACUAAUUUCUAUUUUAACUUUUACUUGUGUUGUUCCUCUCUCUAGAUAAGCUUAUGUGUCUUGAUGUAUGCCUUAAUGAGUUGAUGCCUUCUCCCCUGAAGGGUAGAGUCAUUUCAAGUGAUUCAAAAGUUCCAGCUCCAAAUGAUGGUUGCCCAGAAAUUUCGACCCAUCCCCCUAUCAAGAAGGGAGACAACAGCAAUUCCGGGUACCAAACCCAACCCCCUCCGAUGCCGUUGGAAACAAAAAACUCCCCAGCCCCCUUAGUCAGCGAGCACGGGGCCUUAAGGUCACUAGAUCCCAUGCACUCCUUGUAUGCGCAGAUAAUAAACUAGCCACUUUCUGUUUCCAUUGUAAUCAGUGUCUUAUUUCAAUCGGCUAAUAAGACAGGACAAGAACCCAAGUGGCGUUCGGUUACAAUAUCGGAAGGUGCUGAAAGCGGGGACAGAGGAGGUGGGACAGAUACGGUCUCCCCAGCCCAUACUAGCAGUGGGAUACAGUUCGGCCCAGUUCCCUUGGGAGGGCUUUAUCCACUCCAGGAGGUGCCAGUCCCCACUGCAGAAAGGCCACUUCAGAUAAUCUGAGUCCAUAAUCCGUCCUUGGCAUCUGAACGCAUUUAAGGUCUUUACCAACAGAGAUCAGGUAAAAAAGGUAGAGGAAAAGACCAGGACAUGAAGAAACAGGCCAAUCUACUGGCUGCUGUUCUAGGAUCAUCUGGAGGAAGACAACGAGACCAAGUUAACAUUGGUGCUUCUCCAAAAGUAAAAGGACCUCCUGUUACAGCCUAAGUGGACUGGACCCUUCACCACACCACUCAGCACUGACACAGUUUUGAAGCUUGAAGAUGUCAAACCAUGGAUCCAUCAUUCCAAGUCAAGCCCUGCCCGGUCUACAGUGACAAAAAGAGUGAAAAGGCCAACCCAUCGAUGGCCUGAAGUUAAGGCUUUCUGGGGUUAAAAAGUAAAAAUGUUUUUUAUGCUAACUUGGAUGAGACUACUAUUAGGGGCCAGAGAGACUUUUGCCCAGGGAAUCUUUGUUGCUGAGAUAAACAUCCCCCAAUCCCUUGUUAGAAGAUAAAAAUUUUUAGAUCUAUAUUGCUAGAGAAGUGUUAAACAUUGCUGAUUUCUGUCUGCCCUGUCUGGAAAGAGGGUUGCAUGCCAACUCGGCCCUCAAGUCCUGUCUCAUCAGGGUUUGUACUCUUAUACACAGAGUUAAAAUAUCCUGGUAUUUAUAACUAAACCAAAACCCACUGGAGUAGAACUGCCCAAUAGAGUUUUUAAGGAGCACCCGGCAGAUUCGAACUGCUGAGGUAUUUAUAACUAAAAAACCUGUUAUUCAUGAAAGAUUUUAUUUUCUUGACUGACCUCUUGGCUGCCAGAUUUUACCUGCCUAAAAACCUUAUUUAUUAGUGAAAUUAGAAUAGUUAUUAUAGGCCUGUUAAUCUGUUGCUGUCUCCAAUUUAUGCUUAUAUGUGGGAUGGCAUUCUCUGUCCCAAGUCAAACUGUCCAAUAGAUGGCUCAAACCUGUCGCAGGCAGAGUCCAAUCUUUUCACCUGAAACACUCAGAUCUAUAAAGAAUAAGUUGAAGCUUGGUAUAGAUAUAUGUGAUCAUCCAAGUUUCAAAGAGGGGAAUAUGUGACCUAAAAAAAAAAAAAAAAUUUUUUUUUUUUUAAUACUCCCCAGCAUGUUUUCUCCUUUUUCAAAAUGGGCAACUGAGAGCUUAACAGAACUAAGGCCAAGAUAAACCUGUAAGUUCUUCCUCUGCCUGCCUCCUUCACGUACCUCUGUUAAUGACUUUGUUCUUUGUUUUAAACUGAUGCAAAUAACCUUUUGUUCUGUCCUGACUACCUGUGGCCUACAACCCCCACAGGAAAGCUGGAGCCCAGGUAUCUGAUAUGAAUAUCUUUAAGCCUAAUAAAACCUCUGGCAGGGGACUACAAAGACACUUGUAACCCUUGUAAGAUUCUAUAUAAGCUCAAUUUAAAAUUGCUCUUUGGGACUCCACUGAGACAGCCUGUGUUGCUGCUGGGUCCCCGGUGAUACACACAUCUCCUUAAUAAACUUUCUCACUCUUUCUGACUUGGAGUAUGUUUCAUUGGCUCGACUGCUCCAGGGCACGGACCCUAAUCAGGUAACAAUGAAAAACAGAAAAGGCUUUUUUUCCCACCUUCCCACCGUUCUGCCCAGUUGAUUUCAGAUGUAAGGUGGGAUUUGUUGUCUAUCCUGCUAUUCAACGUGUGGGCUGCCGAUCAUAGCAUUAGCACUACCUAAGCGCUUUUUCGUUGUUCUUGUUAGGAGCCACCAAGUGAGUUCCCACUCCUAGCGACCCUAUGCAGUACAGAACGAAACAGUGCCCAGUCCUGUGCCAUCCUCACAAUUGUUACUAUGCUUCAGCCGAUUGUUGCAGCCACUGUGUCAAUCCAUCUCUUUGAGAAACUUCCUCUUUUUUACUGACCCUCUACUUCACAAAGCAUGAUGUCCUUUUCCAGGUACUCAUCCCUCCUGACAAUCUGUCCAAAGUAUGUGAGACACAGCCUGGCCAUCCUUACUUCCAAGGAGUAUUCUGGCUUUUUAGAAAUGCAGAAUCUCAGGCCACUCCCAAACUCUGGGAUCAGAAUCUCAUUUUUAAAGACAGUAUUUUAAAGGUGAUUCUUAUGCAUAUUAACAUUUGAGAAGCACUGGUAUUCUCAACUCCAGCAAUCCUGCGCGUUUGGGGAGGGUAGAAACCAGCUCCCCAUUGAAGGGACCUGCAGGCGGCAGAGUGAAACUGGUCACCCAAUCCUCAGUCACCAGUUCGAGCGUGGCUGGCGCACCGGCUGAGCCACUGCCUG